CCUUCGAUAGCUCAGCGGGUAAAGUGGAGGACUGUAGAUCCUUAGGUCGCUGGUUUGAGUCCGGCUUGAAGGA